UGCGUAGGCGGUCUCGCAAGUCUGGCGUGAAAGCCCAAGGCUCAGCCUUGGAAGUGCGCUCGAAACUGCGAGGCUGGAGUGCCGGAGGGGAGAGUGGAAUUCCCGGUGUAGCGGUGAAAUGCGUAGAGAUCGGGAGGAAUACCGGUGGCGAAAGCGACUCUCUGGACGGCAACUGACGCUGAGGCACGAAAGCGUGGGGAGCAAACAGGAUUAGAUACCCUGGUAGUCCACGCCGUAAACGAUGGACACUAGGUGUCGGGGGUAUCCACUCCCUCGGUGCCGCCGCUAACGCAGUAAGUGUCCCGCCUGGGAAGUACGGUCGCAAGAUUAAA
rnacentral:rRNA from 1 species